UACGGAGGGGGCUAGCGUUGUUCGGAAUUACUGGGCGUAAAGCGCACGUAGGCGGCUUUGCAAGUCAGAGGUGAAAGCCCGGGGCUCAACCCCGGAAUUGCCUUUGAGACUGCAUCGCUAGAACGUCGGAGAGGUGAGUGGAAUUCCGAGUGUAGAGGUGAAAUUCGUAGAUAUUCGGAAGAACACCAGUGGCGAAGGCGACUCACUGGACGACUGUUGACGCUGAGGUGCGAAAGCGUGGGGGGCAAACAGG
rnacentral:rRNA from 1 species